AGUGAACGCUGGCGGCAGGCCUAACACAUGCAAGUCGAACGGCAGCACAGUAAGAGCUUGUUCUUACGGGUGGCGAGUGGAGGACGGGUGCGGAAUACAUCCGAAUCUACUUUUUCGUGGGGGAUAACGUAGGGAAACAUACGCUAAUACCGCAUACGGACUACGGGUGAAAGCAGGGGAUCUUCGGACCUUGCGCGAUUGUAUGAGCCGAUGUCGGAUUAGCUAGUUGGCGGGGUAAAGGCCCACCAAGGCGACGAUCCGUAGCUGGUCUGCGAGGAUGAUCAGCCACACUGGAACUGAGACACGGUCCAGACUCCUACGGGAGGCAGCAGUGGGGAAUAUUGGACAAUGGGCGAAAGCCUGAUCCAGCCAUACCGCGUGGGUGAAGAAGGCCUUCGGGUUGUAAAGCCCUUUUGUUGGGAAAGAAAAGCAGCAGGUUAAUACCCCGCUGUUCUGACGGUACCCAAAGAAUAAGCACCGGCUAACUUCGUG
rnacentral:rRNA from 1 species